CUUGUUGUUCGACGUGGGGCUCUCAUUUGAUGGUUUACCCCCUGUGUCAACUCUUGUAAAGAAAAUCGAGCACCGAAAAUCACAGUAGAUAAAACUUGCAGGAAAAUAUUUGAUGACGAACAAGUUGGAGUUGGUGAGGUCUCGGCCCCCCAAGUUGGUGCUAACGUUGAAGAUGCUGUUAUUGGAAUCCAAUAUAAUAUUGUCACACAACAAACACCAUCGGGUAAUGAUGAGAAUUUGUGAAGCAUUGUUUAUGGGUUUCUUGAAGUAUUUUGGGAAAAUCUGGAGGUUUUCUAUUAGAGGUUGUGGUUGUAAAGAAUGUAUAGAUUUGUGGGUUUCAACAUGUAUGAAAAUCACUACUAUAUUUUUGAUGGGUUAUUUGAAGUAUUUUGUGAAAAUCUGGAGCCUUUUUGUUGGCGGUUGUGGUUGUAAAGAAUGUACAGAUAGUCAAAUGCAGUACUUGUAUAAAAAUCAUUAUUACAUAAAUCAUAGAAAUCUUGAAGUA